rnacentral:lncRNA from 1 species
CGGGACUGGACAGGAAGAAAGGUCUCCCGCUCCUGUAGUGCGCUGUCCUUGCACCACGGGCAGGUGAUUGCUAGACUGCCUCAAAUCCCCCAGGUUUCAUCAGCCUCUCCACAUUCACCCACCGACAGACACAGGGCAGACUGACUGCUUUUGCUGAAACUCGCACACAUUCUGCCUGUGGCCUUCCUCCAUCACUGAACCCUGCGGCGCUGACAUAAACAGGCAGCCGGUUAGGUCUGAUGGAUGGGUGGCCAACACGGGAAGACUGAGCACCUCGUUUUUCUCCCUGAUAAAGCGGUGACACAGCUGCUGCGCAGGCCAUCCGAGUCAAGGCUACCUGGCCCCAAAGGCAUCUGACGAGGUGAAGAGCGUCCUCUAUGAAAAUGAAAUCCAUAGAUAAUAUUACUGCCUACCUGCAUCAUUUAAAAAAAAAGGCCUCAUGAUUUUGCCGUGACUAAUAUAAAGGAUAAAUAAAAGAAAUUAAUUCACCUCCCACACCCGGCU